rnacentral:rRNA from 1 species
UACGUAGGGUGCAAGCGUUAAUCGGAAUUACUGGGCGUAAAGCGUGCGCAGGCGGUUCUAUAAGACAGAUGUGAAAUCCCCGGGCUCAACCUGGGAACUGCAUUUGUGACUGUAGAGCUGGAGUACGGUAGAGGGGGAUGGAAUUCCGCGUGUAGCAGUGAAAUGCGUAGAUAUGCGGAGGAACACCGAUGGCGAAGGCAGCCCCCUGGGUUAACACUGACGCUCAGGCACGAAAGCGUGGGGAGCAAACAGG